AUCGGUGGUUCAGUGGUAGAAUGCUCGCCUGCCAUGCGGGCAGCCCGGGUUCGAUUUGAUGCAUCGAUG